rnacentral:rRNA from 1 species
GACGAACGCUGGCGGCGUGCUUAACACAUGCAAGUCGAACGGACAGGCCCUGCUUUUGUGGCGUGCUCGAGUGGCGAACGGGUGAGUAACACGUGAGUAACCUGCCCUUGACUUUGGGAUAACUUCAGGAAACUGGGGCUAAUACCGGAUAGGAGCUCCUGCUGCAUGGUGGGGAUUGGAAAGUUUCGGCGGUUGGGGAUGGACUGGCGGCUUAUCAGCUUGUUGGUGGGGUAGUGGCUUACCAAGGCUUUGACGGGUAGCCGGCCUGAGAGGGGGACCGGCCACAUGGGGACUGAGAUACGGAGCAGACGGCUACGGGAGGCAGCAGUGGGGAAUAUGGCACAAUGGGCGGAAGCCUGAUGCAGCAACGCCGCGUGCGGGAUGACGGCCUUCGGGUUGUAAACCGCUUUCGCCGGUGACGAAGCGUGAGUGACGGUAAUGGGUAAAGAAGCACCGGCUAACUACGUG